rnacentral:misc_RNA from 1 species
UUGAAUCCAAAGGAUGUUGCUGGUGCUUGCAAAAGUACAUGUGCACUCCAACCUUCAUAUCCACCUGUGCACUCAUUGUAGGCUCUUGGAUUGAUUUCCAAAGAGUCUAUGAUUUUUAAUAUACACACUACAAAGUUUAUGGAAUGUCUGGGCAUUCAUUGCCUAAAAAUUAAUA